rnacentral:rRNA from 1 species
UACGUAGGGUGCAAGCGUUAAUCGGAAUCACUGGGCGUAAAGGGCGCGUAGGCGGGAUGGCAAGUCGGUCGUGAAAUCCUUCGGCUCAACCGAAGAACGUCGGCCGAUACUGCCGUUCUUGAGGGAUGCAGAGGAGAUUGGAAUUCCCGGUGUAGCGGUGAAAUGUGUAGAGAUCGGGAGGAACGACCGGUGGCGAAGGCGG